UUCUUCUUCUUUUAAGAAAAUACGUCCCUCUUCAAAGAAAACCUAAUCCUAAACCUUUCAUCUCCACCAUUCGAUUGCCCUUAAUAUUUUUCAAUUUCAACUUUCUCUUAUUCACUUUAUUUUGUUUUGAAUCAAUAUCUAUCCGUAAAUCAUUCAAUUUGAAACCCUAAUAAUGAUUUAAAGUUAGGAUUCCAAAAUAUCAAUAUCAAUAUGGAACCCUAACAAUCAACACUACCAUUCAUUUGAAUUUUGAACCCAUUUUCGCUUUGUUUUGUCACAAACCUGUAAUUCGUAGUUCUUCAAUCAGGCGUUAUGCUACUCCGUUCUGCUACUAUGUAUUCCAAAAUUUAGCAGUCGAC
rnacentral:lncRNA from 1 species